rnacentral:rRNA from 1 species
GACGAACGCUGGCGGCGUGCUUAACACAUGCAAGUCGAACGGAAAGGCCCUGCUUGCAGGGUGCUCGAGUGGCGAACGGGUGAGUAACACGUGGGUGAUCUGCCCCUUACUUUGGGAUAAGCCUGGGAAACUGGGUCUAAUACUGGAUAGGACCAUGCUGUAGGUGGUGUGGUGGAAAGAUUAGUUUCGGUAAGGGAUGAGCUCGCGGCCUAUCAGCUUGUUGGUGGGGUAAUGGCCUACCAAGGCGUCGACGGGUAGCCGGCCUGAGAGGGUGGACGGCCACAUUGGGACUGCGAUACGGCCCAGACUCCUACGGGAGGCAGCAGUGGGGAAUAUUGCACAAUGGGCGCAAGCCUGAUGCAGCGACGCCGCGUGGGGGAUGACGGCCUUCGGGUUGUAAACUCCUUUCAGCCAUGACGAAGCCCUUGUGGUGACGGUAGUGGCAGAAGAAGCACCGGCUAACUACGUG